GUCUAUGGUCAUAUUACCCUGAAUACAUCCAAUUUCAUCUGAUCCUGAACACUAGGCAGGGUCGGGCCUGGUGAGGACCUUAGAUGGGCGAGAGCCUUUGACA
rnacentral:rRNA from 1 species